rnacentral:tRNA from 1 species
AAACGAUGAUUACUCACGAUGAGUGUCCACACAGAUUGAUACGGUUUAUGUAAAAGAGACGAUACUGGGUCUGUAGCUCAGGUGGUUAGAGCGUUCGCCUGAUAAGCGAGAGGUCGGUGGUUCGAGUCCACUCAGACCCACCAAUUCCUUUUAGGGAGUUGGCAUACAGUAUCGACACCUUGAUGGGGCUAUAGCUCAGCUGGGAGAGCGCCUGCCUUGCACGCAGGAGGUCUGCGGUUCGAUCCCGCAUAGCUCCACCAUAUUUUGAAACAAUGGGCGAUUAGCUCAGUUGGGAGAGCACCUGCCUUACAAGCAGGGGGUCACUGGUUCGAGCCCGGUAUCGCCCACCAUCUUUAAGCGCAUUCGAUGAGUGCUUUUAAAAAUGGUUACUUCAUUAGAAGUGAUUAGCUCUUUAACAAUUUGGAAAGCUGACAAAACAACAAUUUAUUGUUGUUUGUAAAGUUCUCAAUGUUUGUCUUUAUGACAAACACCAAAAUAACACAUUCAAGUGUUCUUGGAAUUUGAGUCCGGCAAAAUCGAGUCUGCAUCAUGUAUAAAAAUUGCAGACAACUUUGGUGACUUGUCAUCAACUCGAAACUCCUUCGGGUUGUAU